UGAUGUACUGUCACAUGUAAACACUAGUUAUAUUAAUACACAUUAAUAUACUGUAUAGUUAAUGGUGUAUGAGGAGUAUGGUGUAUAGAGGAGUAUGUAGCUCGUGUGUGUAUAACAUAGUGUAGUUGGCGUCCUGCAGCGUGAGGUCAGACAUUACACGUGUCGUCCUAGUAACUGGUAGACUGUCAACUCAAGCUCUCCUCUCAGUCUAAGUGGAACUCUAUAUAUAUCUAAGAAACAAGAAGUAACUGUUAACUGUUACUGCCAGCUCAGUCUCUUCUCGGUCUAAAUGGAUAGCAGGAACAUCUAUCAGUAAACUCCUUUUAUACACGGAAUAAGGCAAUGUUUUGGGUUCUAUAUUGAAGUGUUUAACUCUAUCUAGUUUCUUGUACUGUACAUAGAGGAACGAGAAGUCUUCCUCGUGUGUGUGUGUGUGUGUGUGCCCUCGCCUCUCAUACUUAUGUAAAGACAGACCCACGCUGAUUCGGGUUGAAUGUUAUUAAUACCAGGUUUGGAUCGAAUGUAAACAACAGUUGAUGUAAACAACAAGUGAUGUAAACAAAUGAUAUAAACUUAUUAACUAUCUCUUAUUUUACUAUGCACUGUCAGGGUGCGGUGGAGGACACGGAGUGUUGACUGGUUGUUGCUUCUAUUAAUACACUGGUUCGAUCCCCUCCUUCCCUUCCUCUUUGUCUUGGCAUUAUCCACAAUUUGAUCUCUUCCACUCCUCCUUUUAUCUCUUCCUAUUCCUCCUCCUUAUCCUUUUUAUAAUCUUUUUCCUCCCCUCUUUUUCUUCGUUACAAUACACGACACAACAUGUUCCAACAUGUUACGACACGUCACGACGACACGACAUGUUCCGACAUGUUACGACACGUCACGACGACACGACACGACACGAAACGACACGACACGACAGGAAACGACAGAACACGACACAGAGACUUUCACACUCUGACCACUUGCUCUUUAACUCUCAUUUACAAUAAAUCUUUACUUUUAACUUGACAAAUUUGUGGGUUUAGAUGAACUGCUUCCAGGAACUGAUGUUUAUGUUGGUAACACUGAAACUCUAGGAACUGAUGUUUAUGUUGGUAACACUGAGACUAACUUAUGGUAGAGUUAUAAUAUAUAAAUAAAUAUUACUAAUUCUAAGGUUAAGUUUUAUACUAAUAUAAUUUUAAAUUAAUUAGGAUUAUAUAUUUCCAAAUCCGAUAUUUUUAGUAGGUAUAAUAAGUCUACCGUUUGUUACAUAGUGAUGUACUGUCACAUGUAAACACUAGUUAUAUUAAUACACAUUAAUAUACUGUAUAGUUAAUGGUGUAUGAGGAGUAUGGUGUAUAGAGGAGUAUGUAGCUCGUGUGUGUGUAACAUAGUGUAGUUGGCGUGCUGCAGCGUGAGGUCAGACAUAACACGUGUCGUCCUAGUAACUGGUAGACUGUCAACUCAAGCUCUCCUCUCAGUCUAAGUGGAACUCUAUAUAUAUCUAAGAAACAAGAAGUAACUGUUAACUGUUACUGCCAGCUCAGUCUCUUCUCGGUCUAAAUGGAUAGCAGGAACAUCUAUCAGUAAACUCCUUUUAUACACGGAAUAAGGCAAUGUUUUGGGUUCUAUAUUGAAGUGUUUAACUCUAUCUAGUUUCUUGUACUGUACAUAGAGGAACGAGAAGUCUUCCUCGUGUGUGUGUGUGUGUGUGUGUGUCCUCGCCUCUCAUACUUAUGUAAAGACAGACCCACGCUGAUUCGGGUUGAAUGUUAUUAAUACCAGGUUUGGAUCGAAUGUAAACAACAGUUGAUGUAAACAGGUUAUAUAAUCAGGUUCUGUAAACAGGUGAUGUAAACAUCUGAUGAUGUAAAUAACAGUUGAUGUAAACAACGGAUGAUACGCACAAAAGUUGAUGUAAACAGCAGAUGAUAUAAACAACAGGCGAUGUAAACAAAUGAUAUAAAC